rnacentral:misc_RNA from 1 species
AACCAUAGAAACCUGCGGAGUACCUGCGGAGGGAUCAUUAUAGAGUGGUAAACCCCCCAUAAAAAGGGGGGGACCUCCCGUCCUUUGUAGGCCCUUUUUUAAAGGGCUUUUUUGACUUUCUGCUUCGGUGGGGUUAUCCUACCGGAACAACCUCAAAAACUCUGAUUAAAAAAAUUGUUCUGUCUGACGGCCUAUUUAUAAUAAAAAAAAAAAACUUUUAACAAUGGAUCUCAGAUCGGA